CUUCUCUUCACCAUAGGUAUCAAGUUAACGAUUUCCAUCAUCAUUGAAUUUAGAGCUGAAAUGAAAAUGAAAAUGAAAAAAUUUCCUCCAAAACAAUACGGAAGAAAUGAAAAUCUUCUUUGGAAUAUCUAAAAUAAGCAUUCUACUACACCAUUACACGUAUCAGUGCUUAAAAGUUAAUUAAUAAUCUAACGAACAUGAAAUUUUAUCAGUGAAAUAGUAACUUUGAAAAUCAUGUAUAACUAAAAAAGUAAGUUUAGCUUACAUUCAAAUGCAAAUAAAGGUGUGAAAAUCCCUCGUCGUCGUCGUCUUCUUCUUCUUCUUCUUCUUCAUCAUCAUCAGUAAAAUUACAAUAUUCCUUGCUAAUUAGUUCAAGUAUAGAUUGAGGAAAGAAUGAAAUCCAGCAUCCCGGCAGCAAAUCUGAAGAGCUGAUGCCUCAGAGAAACUGCCCAUAGCCCUAUAAUUGCCAUCCCUAUGAGUGCGAUGAAGCUCAUUUCUUUUCUCUAUCUUCUUUUGUUAUGCACCAUCUUCAAACUCUGCCUAGCUAGCUGCCCCAACCACCACUUAAUUAUUAACUUAUUAGUCAAUCGGUUAGGCUUUUCAUGUACCUUAGAAUCCAUU
rnacentral:lncRNA from 1 species